CCCGUAUCCCUUCCGACAACAGGGGCACAUUUUGGGCAAUGAAUUUGAGGAAGAGCAGUUGGGGUUUGUACAUGCUCUAAGGAUCAGAGCCAAGGCACAGAUAUGAGUAUGACUUUAGCAGUUUUCUUGAAUUUUGAGGGUGAGACAUUUCUCUUCUGUAGAGAGCCAGCUCGGCCAACAUGUCCUGGUUUGCCUGGGACUUUCCUGGUUUCAGCACUUAAAUUUCCACAUCCUGGGAAGCCCCUGCCACACUGGGACAGUUGGCCCCCCCCCGAGCCAGUAGUGACCAGACCAACCCUCUACUGGACUGUUUGGCAAAGAUUAGGCACAGAAUUCCCUUGGCUAUUUGUGGACUUUUACUCUUCUUUAUAAGUUUUUAGAAUUAAUCUUUCCACUUGAAAAAUCAUCUUGAAUUCAAGUUCCGGGGAUCUAAGGCACGGCAGACCAACUAUUUCGGUCAGCGAGGAAGCAUGAUAUAGUGGAACAUGGGAAGCUCAGUUCAAAGGACCGACAUUCACUUAGUGGGACUUUAGGCAACCAUCACUUCUCUCAGCCUCCAUUUAUUCAUCUGACUCAGGAGGGGUUUGGGUGACCUGUCCUGUCAAACUCAAAGAGUCUGGAUAUCUUCUUGGACUCUUGGCCUUUGGAGAUGAUUCUUGAAGUUUCUAUAAAUGAAAGUGGAAAUCAGCCACUUUUUUAAAACCGGUGAGAAGCUUAGGGAACACAGUAAUGACCAUGUUUCUGUAAUCCCUGCGGAACCCAGUCAGAAACUGCCAGGAUGGCAAGGCGUUUGCGUGAUAGCGAGGAGCAAAGUCCCAACUUCAUAUAUCUUUCCAAAGUCCACAUUUCUCCUUCCAGCAAUU
rnacentral:lncRNA from 1 species